GCAAGUGUAGCUCUUCCCUCCGGGGAGGAGCGGCGGACGGGUUAGUAACGCGUGGGAACAUGCCCUUUACUAAGGAAUAGCCUCGGGAAACUGAGAGUAAUACCUUAUACGCCCUUCGGGGGAAAGAUUUAUCGGUAUAGGAUUGGCCCGCGUAAGAUUAGAUAGUUGGUGGGGUAAUGGCCUACCAAGUCGACGAUCUUUAGCUGGUUUGAGAGGAUGAGC
rnacentral:rRNA from 1 species